UACGGAGGGUGCGAGCGUUGUCCGGAAUCAUUGGGCGUAAAGGGCGCGUAGGUGGCCCGGUCAGUUCGUGGUGAAAGCGCGGGGCUCAACUCCGCGUCGGCCAUGAAUACUGCUGGGCUGGAGCACUGUAGAGGCAGGCGGAAUUCCGGGUGUAGCGGUGGAAUGCGUAGAGAUCCGGAAGAACACCGGUGGCGAAGGCGGCCUGACUGG
rnacentral:rRNA from 1 species